AACGAACGCUGGCGGCAGGCCUAACACAUGCAAGUCGAGCGAGCAUUUCGGUGCUAGCGGCGGACGGGUGAGUAACGCGUGGGAACGUGCCCUUUUCUGCGGAAUAGUCCUGGGAAACUGGGGGUAAUACCGCAUACGCCCUUUUGGGGAAAGAUUUAUCGGAGAAGGAUCGGCCCGCGUUGGAUUAGGUAGUUGGUGGGGUAAUGGCCCACCAAGCCGACGAUCCAUAGCUGGUUUGAGAGGAUGAUCAGCCACACUGGGACUGAGACACGGCCCAGACUCCUACGGGAGGCAGCAGUGGGGAAUCUUAGACAAUGGGGGCAACCCUGAUCUAGCCAUGCCGCGUGAGUGAUGAAGGCCUUAGGGUUGUAAAGCUCUUUCAGCUGGGAAGAUAAUGACGGUACCAGCAGAAGAGGCCCCGGCUAACUCCGUG
rnacentral:rRNA from 1 species